rnacentral:tRNA from 1 species
GGGUGUAGGGCCAGCUCGGACACGACUCGGCACAUCACCCGUUCUACGAGGUGAAAGUCGGUUCCGCGCCCGCGAGGCCCGGUGAUUCCCAAGCUCAGAGCGCGGGUUCGAUUCCCGUUUCACCCG